GAUGAACGCUGGCGGCGUGCCUAAUACAUGCGAGUCGAGCGAACAGACGAGGAGCUUGCUCCUCUGACGUUAGCGGCGGACGGGUGAGUAACACGUGGAUAACCUACCUAUAAGACUGGGAUAACUUCGGGAAACCGGAGCUAAUACCGGAUAACAUGUUGAACCGCAUGGUUCAACAGUGAAAGACGGUCUUGCUGUCACUUAUAGAUGGCUCCGCGCCGCAUUAGCUAGUUGGUAAGGUAACGGCUUACCAAGGCAACGAUGCGUAGCCGACCUGAGAGGGUGAUCGGCCACACUGGAACUGAGACACGGUCCAGACUCCUACGGGAGGCAGCAGUAGGGAAUCUUCCGCAAUGGGCGAAAGCCUGACGGAGCAACGCCGCGUGAGUGAAGAAGGUCUUCGGAUCGUAAAACUCUGUUAUUAGGGAAGAACAAAUGUGUAAGUAACUAUGCACGUCUUGACGGUACCUAAUCAGAAAGCCACGGCUAACUACGUG
rnacentral:rRNA from 1 species